rnacentral:rRNA from 1 species
UACGUAGGGGGUGAGCGUUGUCCGGAAUUAUUGGGCGUAAAGAGCGUGUAGGCGGUUCGGUAAGUCUGCCGUGAAAACCUGGGGCUCAACCCCGGGCGUGCGGUGGAUACUGCCGGGCUAGAGGGUGGUAGAGGCGAGUGGAAUUCCCGGUGUAGCGGUGAAAUGCGCAGAUAUCGGGAGGAACACCAGUAGCGAAGGCGGCUCGCUGGGCCAUUCCUGACGCUGAGACGCGAAAGCUAGGGGAGCGAACAGG